GCCUGGCUGGCUAAUUUGGCACAGCAUAUGACCCCUGAUCUUGGGGUUGUGAGUUUGAACCUCAUGUUGGGCA
rnacentral:tRNA from 1 species